CAAAGUGCACACACCGAUGUGAUAUUCAAUUAAAGGUUGUGGCUUUGUAUUUCGGUGACAAUGAUUUACUAUAAAAACUCAUGCGCACUUUGGAAAAGUUAUCAAACAGUCUUUACUUUCAUAAUAAAUUACAAGUGUUCGCUUGCGCAACAAACUCAAACGCAAAAAUGUUCAACCUCUACAAAGUGCUCGUCGUGUUCGCCGCUUUGGUGUGCAUUGCUGCUGCCUACCCAAGCAUCAUAGGACCAGCCAUCAUCCCCGCCCUUGGCCCAAGAGUCGUUGUCGGACCAGUCGGAGCUGUCGGCCCAGUUUUGGUGCCCGGUUUGGGUCAUGGUGGUCUUCUUGGUCAUGGUGGUGUAGUUCUUGGUUAAACCAUAACUAUUAGUUGGACUGCCAAUAUUCUCCACUGAACAGUUGCACAAUCUACACCCGCUUACCGUUAUUUUUUUCACCCAACUCAUCCACAAGUGUUCGUUGCAUUGCUGCGCUUUCCUCUAUCAACAAUAAAUAAUUUUUUGUAAAUCGUAUAUUUUUCUUUUAGUUUGCUUAAUUUGAAUAAAUAUGCAAUAAACCAAAAUCAA